AAUUUGUGACAAUGGGCGCAAGCCUGAUCCAGCCAUGCCGCGUGAGUGAAGAAGGCAUUCGGUUUGUAAAGCACUUUUGCCGGGGAAGAAAAGGUUCUGGCUAAUACCCGGAACUGAUGACGGUACCUGAAGAAUACGCAUCGGAUAAUGACGUGCCAGCAGCCGCGGUAAUACGUAGGGUGCAAGCGUUAAUCGGAAUUACUGGGCGUAAAGCGUGCGCAGGCGGUUCGGAAAGAAGGAUGUGAAAUCACAGGGCUCAACCUUGGAACUGCAUUCUUAACUACCGAACUAGAGUAUGUCAGAGGGGGGUAGAAUUCCGCGUGUAGCAGUGAAAUGCGUAGAUAUGCGGAGGAAUACCGAUGGCGAAGGCAGCCCCCUGGGAUAAUACUGACGCUCAUGCACGAAAGCGUGGGUAGCAAACAGG
rnacentral:rRNA from 1 species